rnacentral:tRNA from 52 species
GGCGGAUGUAGCCAAGUGGGUUAAGGCAGUGGAUUGUGAAUCCACCAUGCGCGG